AACAAAAACAUCGCUUUAUGUAUAUUUAUAAAGUAAGACCUGCCCAAUGAUAAAAUUUAAUGGCCGCAGUAUUUUGACUGUGCAAAGGUAGCAUAAUAAUUAGUUUUUUAAUUAAAAGCUUGUAUGAAUGGUUUAAUGAAAUAUAUACUUUAUUAAUUUAAAUAUAAUAGAAUUUAAUUUUUUAGUUAAAAAGCUUAAAUUAUUUUAAAAGACGAGAAGACCCUAUAGAUCUUUAUUUAAUUAGUUAAAAAUAAUUUUUGUUUAUAUUAAUAUUUUAAUGAAUUAAAUUUUAUUGGGGUAAUAUAAAGAUUAAAAUAAUUCUUUAUUUUUUUAACCAUUUAUAUAUGAUUAUUUGAUCCUUUAUUAUGGAUUAUAAGAUUAAGUUACCUUAGGGAUAACAGCGUAAUUUUUUUGAAGAGUUCUUAUCAAUAAAAAAGAUUGCGACCUCGAUGUUG
rnacentral:rRNA from 1 species